rnacentral:rRNA from 1 species
AACGAACGCUGGCGGCAGGCUUAACACAUGCAAGUCGAGCGCCCCGCAAGGGGAGCGGCAGACGGGUGAGUAACGCGUGGGAACGUACCUUUUGGUUCGGAACAACUCCGGGAAACUGGAGCUAAUACAGGAUAAGCAAUAACGGGGAAAGAUUUAUCGACGAAAGAUCGGCCCGCGUCUGAUUAGCUAGUUGGUGAGGUAACGGCUCACCAAGGCGACGAUCAGUAGCUGGUCUGAGAGGAUGAUCAGCCACACUGGGACUGAGACACGGCCCAGACUCCUACGGGAGGCAGCAGUGGGGAAUAUUGGACAAUGGGCGCAAGCCUGAUCCAGCCAUGCCGCGUGAGUGAUGAAGGCCUUAGGGUUGUAAAGCUCUUUUGUCCGGGAAGAUAAUGACUGUACCGGAAGAAUAAGCCCCGGCUAACUUCGUG